rnacentral:hammerhead_ribozyme from 1 species
GUACUGCUGAAGAGUCCCACAUAAGGACGAAACAGCCGUCCAAUGC